AUUGAACGCUGGCGGCAUGCUUUACACAUGCAAGUCGAACGGUAACAGGCCUUCGGGUGCUGACGAGUGGCGAACGGGUGAGUAAUGCAUCGGAACGUACCCAGAGGUGGGGGAUAACGCAGCGAAAGCUGUGCUAAUACCGCAUGUGAUCUGAGGAUGAAAGCGGGGGACCGAGCAGCAAUGUUUGGCCUCGCGCCUUUGGAGCGGCCGAUGUCGGAUUAGCUAGUUGGUGGGGUAAAGGCCUACCAAGGCGACGUUCCGUAGCUGGUCUGAGAGGACGACCAGCCACACUGGGACUGAGACACGGCCCAGACUCCUACGGGAGGCAGCAGUGGGGAAUUUUGGACAAUGGGCGCAAGCCUGAUCCAGCAAUGCCGCGUGCGGGAAGAAGGCCUUCGGGUUGUAAACCGCUUUUGGCAGGAACGAAACGGUGUCCGCUAAUACCGGGCGCUAAUGACGGUACCUGCAGAAUAAGCACCGGCUAACUACGUG
rnacentral:rRNA from 1 species